GGGAAAAGUUAGAAAAUAUGUUUGCAUAAUAAUCACAGAAUAAAAUACCCUUUUUAAAACGGUAAUAAUAAUCAGUCUCAUCAUGUUUCUUGUAACAAAAUCAAUUUGACAAUUCAGCAAAAACUCGGUAAAUACUGUGUCAUAGAAAAUCUUUAUAUUUGGGAGAUUUCAGAAAAGGAUUAUGUAAAUUGUAUCACUGUGUGGACCCCUUCAUAAAAAGAGUCAAGUAUAACUUUAGGUCCUUACCCGAGGGAAAACUGUAGCUGUAUGCUAGUUCUACCUUCCCACUAGCGAGGGUUAUAACUGUAGUGCGUAAAUGGUAAUCUGUAAAUACAAGGUGCACCAGGUCUAACAAACCCGGCGUUAGCUACGGGAUCCUUCAAAGUCUCCUCCCAUUUAUACUCUUUCUUGUAAAUAGUAAAUA
rnacentral:lncRNA from 1 species